AGCGUUACUCGUCGUGAUUGGGUGUAAAAACGGCUAGGCUUCUUAUUAGACCUUUCUUCAAAAAAACUUAAUUGUUGGUUUUUAGAACUGAUUGAUAAUGAUUGGAGGUUUUAUACGUUCGCGGAAUUGUAAUUGGAGCGGUGAAAUGCUUGGAUAAUUGCAGAAUCGCCGAUAGUGAUACAGUGUCCGAUAAAACCUUGACGCUGAACCGUUAAAGUACGAGUAUCGAAUAGGAUUUGAGACCCUAGUAGUUCGUACCCUGAAUCAUGGACGUCUAUUUGUGAAGUUGAUUAACGUUAGAACGUCCUGCCUGAAGAUUAAGGCCGCAAGGGCAAAAUUUAAAGAGAUUGGCGGGAGUUUAUAUAAACGGUGGAACAUGUGGUUUAAUUCGACGAUCCGCGAGAAACCUUACCAGUGUAAUUCGCCUUAAACUUAGUAAAUUGCUGUCCUUUUUUACCGAUAGUUUCCGUUUAGGUGCUGCAUGGCUGUCGUCAGUUUAAAAUGUGAGUUGUUUUGAACACAAUCUUUUCAAGUUACUAAUUUAUAAAAUCUUUAAGACACGGUUUAUGCUAUAUUUUAACCGCUACAUUUUUUUUAGAAAUACGUAACUACUUUACCGCACCUAUUGUUUUUAUUUUUGCAGGUGCGGUAAGUGAGGAGGGGAAGUCAAGUCAUUAUGGCCUUGAUAUGCUGGGCAACACACGUGUUACAGGGGUAGAGACAAUGGAAUUAGCCGCGAGGCUUUUAUCUUCUAAAAACUACCCAGGUUCGGAUUAUUCACUGAAAUUGGUGAGUAUGAAGCAGAAAUCGUUAGUAAUCGUAAAUAAGCUCGCUACGAUGAAUUUUUUUAAACUUUGCACACACCGCCCAUCAUAUUCGAAGAGUUUUUUUGGUUUGAAGAUGGAAUGACUAAUCGGUUUGUUUUAAUGGCUAUGUUUUGGUUCAUGUCUAAAAACAAAAAG
rnacentral:rRNA from 1 species